rnacentral:rRNA from 3 species
UUAAGCGACUAAGCGUACACGGUGGAUGCCCUGGCAGUCAGAGGCGAUGAAGGACGUGCUAAUCUGCGAUAAGCGUCGGUGAGGUGAUAUGAACCGUUAUAACCGGCGAUUUCCGAAUGGGGAAACCCAGUGUGUUUCGACACACUAUCAUUAACUGAAUCCAUAGGUUAAUGAGGCGAACCGGGGGAACUGAAACAUCUAAGUACCCCGAGGAAAAGAAAUCAACCGAGAUUCCCCCAGUAGCGGCGAGCGAACGGGGAGGAGCCCAGAGCCUGAAUCAGUGUGUGUGUUAGUGGAAGCGUCUGGAAAGGCGCGCGAUACAGGGUGACAGCCCCGUACACAAAAAUGCACAUACUGUGAGCUCGAUGAGUAGGGCGGGACACGUGGUAUCCUGUCUGAAUAUGGGGGGACCAUCCUCCAAGGCUAAAUACUCCUGACUGACCGAUAGUGAACCAGUACCGUGAGGGAAAGGCGAAAAGAACCCCGGCGAGGGGAGUGAAAAAGAACCUGAAACCGUGUACGUACAAGCAGUGGGAGCCUCUUAAUGGGGUGACUGCGUACCUUUUGUAUAAUGGGUCAGCGACUUAUAUUCUGUAGCAAGGUUAACCGAAUAGGGGAGCCGAAGGGAAACCGAGUCUUAACUGGGCGUUAAGUUGCAGGGUAUAGACCCGAAACCCGGUGAUCUAGCCAUGGGCAGGUUGAAGGUUGGGUAACACUAACUGGAGGACCGAACCGACUAAUGUUGAAAAAUUAGCGGAUGACUUGUGGCUGGGGGUGAAAGGCCAAUCAAACCGGGAGAUAGCUGGUUCUCCCCGAAAGCUAUUUAGGUAGCGCCUCGUGAAUUCAUCUCCGGGGGUAGAGCACUGUUUCGGCAAGGGGGUCAUCCCGACUUACCAACCCGAUGCAAACUGCGAAUACCGGAGAAUGUUAUCACGGGAGACACACGGCGGGUGCUAACGUCCGUCGUGAAGAGGGAAACAACCCAGACCGCCAGCUAAGGUCCCAAAGUCAUGGUUAAGUGGGAAACGAUGUGGGAAGGCCCAGACAGCCAGGAUGUUGGCUUAGAAGCAGCCAUCAUUUAAAGAAAGCGUAAUAGCUCACUGGUCGAGUCGGCCUGCGCGGAAGAUGUAACGGGGCUAAACCAUGCACCGAAGCUGCGGCAGCGACGCUUAUGCGUUGUUGGGUAGGGGAGCGUUCUGUAAGCCUGUGAAGGUGGCCUGUGAGGGUUGCUGGAGGUAUCAGAAGUGCGAAUGCUGACAUAAGUAACGAUAAAGCGGGUGAAAAGCCCGCUCGCCGGAAGACCAAGGGUUCCUGUCCAACGUUAAUCGGGGCAGGGUGAGUCGACCCCUAAGGCGAGGCCGAAAGGCGUAGUCGAUGGGAAACAGGUUAAUAUUCCUGUACUUGGUGUUACUGCGAAGGGGGGACGGAGAAGGCUAUGUUGGCCGGGCGACGGUUGUCCCGGUUUAAGCGUGUAGGCUGGUUUUCCAGGCAAAUCCGGAAAACCAAGGCUGAGGCGUGAUGACGAGGCACUACGGUGCUGAAGCGACAAAUGCCCUGCUUCCAGGAAAAGCCUCUAAGCAUCAGGUAACAUUAAAUCGUACCCCAAACCGACACAGGUGGUCAGGUAGAGAAUACCAAGGCGCUUGAGAGAACUCGGGUGAAGGAACUAGGCAAAAUGGUGCCGUAACUUCGGGAGAAGGCACGCUGAUAUGUAGGUGAAGCGACUUGCUCGUGGAGCUGAAAUCAGUCGAAGAUACCAGCUGGCUGCAACUGUUUAUUAAAAACACAGCACUGUGCAAACACGAAAGUGGACGUAUACGGUGUGACGCCUGCCCGGUGCCGGAAGGUUAAUUGAUGGGGUUAGCGGUAACGCGAAGCUCUUGAUCGAAGCCCCGGUAAACGGCGGCCGUAACUAUAACGGUCCUAAGGUAGCGAAAUUCCUUGUCGGGUAAGUUCCGACCUGCACGAAUGGCGUAAUGAUGGCCAGGCUGUCUCCACCCGAGACUCAGUGAAAUUGAACUCGCUGUGAAGAUGCAGUGUACCCGCGGCAAGACGGAAAGACCCCGUGAACCUUUACUAUAGCUUGACACUGAACAUUGAGCCUUGAUGUGUAGGAUAGGUGGGAGGCUUUGAAGUGUGGACGCCAGUCUGCAUGGAGCCGACCUUGAAAUACCACCCUUUAAUGUUUGAUGUUCUAACGUGGGCCCCUUACCGGGGUUGCGGACAGUGUCUGGUGGGUAGUUUGACUGGGGCGGUCUCCUCCUAAAGAGUAACGGAGGAGCACGAAGGUUGGCUAAUCCUGGUCGGACAUCAGGAGGUUAGUGCAAUGGCAUAAGCCAGCUUGACUGCGAGCGUGACGGCGCGAGCAGGUGCGAAAGCAGGUCAUAGUGAUCCGGUGGUUCUGAAUGGAAGGGCCAUCGCUCAACGGAUAAAAGGUACUCCGGGGAUAACAGGCUGAUACCGCCCAAGAGUUCAUAUCGACGGCGGUGUUUGGCACCUCGAUGUCGGCUCAUCACAUCCUGGGGCUGAAGUAGGUCCCAAGGGUAUGGCUGUUCGCCAUUUAAAGUGGUACGCGAGCUGGGUUUAGAACGUCGUGAGACAGUUCGGUCCCUAUCUGCCGUGGGCGCUGGAGAACUGAGGGGGGCUGCUCCUAGUACGAGAGGACCGGAGUGGACGCAUCACUGGUGUUCGGGUUGUCAUGCCAAUGGCACUGCCCGGUAGCUAAAUGCGGAAGAGAUAAGUGCUGAAAGCAUCUAAGCACGAAACUUGCCCCGAGAUGAGUUCUCCCUGACUCCUUGAGAGUCCUGAAGGAACGUUGAAGACGACGACGUUGAUAGGCCGGGUGUGUAAGCGCAGCGAUGCGUUGAGCUAACCGGUACUAAUGAACCGUGAGGCUUAACCUU